rnacentral:misc_RNA from 1 species
AGGGCACUGUGGAAUUACAAUAGGACCGACUCUAUACGCACGACGUCGUGGGUCUUGGCGGAAGCGUGUAUACGCACGACGCGACUGAGGCGCCACGACACGCCACGCGGCAACUUCAGAAAACGGAAAGCGCCCUCGCUACUCUCGCUGCUCAGUGCACGUCCACGUGCGUAUUCAUGCUUUCAUCGAGCGGCCGUGCACAGGCGCCUCGCUUUGUUGUUCUAGUGGCCGCAGUGUGGUGAACGGCAUGGGAUUCGAAGUUGGGGCACGGUUUAGUUGUUUUAGCGAUUUUGAUCGCGCCUUUAGGGAAUACCAGCUCCAAAACAAUACCCUUUUCGUAGCAAAAGCGACAAAGACAGUGGACGUCGUCAAUUCGCGGCUAAGUGUCGGACUUGAACGUCUGCAAAAGAAGCUCAAGUACGCAAACGCGACGUAUGUGUGUAAACACGCCGGGGAACGGAGGUGCACUGCUACUGGUGUACGACCUCAGCAAAGGACCAUGAAGCAAGGGUGUCCCGCGACCGUUGUCAUCGCAGCACGUCGGACCAGCCAGCAGUUAGAGAUAACAAAGAUUGACUGCAACCACAACCACGAAGUGAACAAGGAAAUUUUCCAGCUGUAUCCGGAAAACCGCCGGCUUAGGCACCAUGAAAAGGAAUAUGUCCUUCCUUUGCUUGACCUCAAUGUGUUGCCCAAUGUCAUAGCUGGGAAGCUAGCAGAAAAGACGGGAAAGGUGGUAACAACGCAGGAUCUGCACAAUGUCAAGCGAAAUUGUCACGGCCGAGACGAAGCUGAACAACUUCUUCAGGAGAUAGAGAAGUGUCGUCAGCAGCAUCGGGCAAAGAUAAUUCCUAUCACAGAUGAAAAUGAGGAGCUGCAAAUUUUGUUUAUUCAAACGCCACACAUGCAGCAAGCAUAUAAGUCCUUCCCAGAGGUGGUGUUGCUUGAUGCAACAUAUAGGACAAACAAGUUAAAGAUGCCACUUUUUGUAUUUGUCGUGCAAGAUGGGUGUGGAGAAAGCCAAGUAAUUGCUUAUGCUUUUGUUGCUUCUGAGCAGUGUCACCACGUCACUGAAAUGCUCAACCUCUUCGUGAAGGAAAACCCUUGUUCUGAAAAUACUGGCGUCAUAGUCGUGGACAAGGACUUCACCGAAAUUAGUGCAAUUCGUAGCGCUUUCCCAUCUGCUCCAUCAAUACAGUUGUGCCAGUUUCAUGUGAUGAAAGCGUUCAGAACAGCAGCUAGCCACUUAGCACGUUCCGCUGAAGAACGUGACAAAAUGGUGACCACAUUCAAUGAAAUGCUGCACGCCCCUAAUUCAAGCAAAUUUGAAGAUGCACAGUCUGAGUUCACAAGGUUUGCAAGCAAAGACUCAAUAGAGUACCUCGAGAAGAAUUGGCUCUCAAUUAAGAACAUGUGGGUUCGCCACAUCUGCGACCAAGAGUUCACUUGUGGAGCCAACACAACUAACAGAGUUGAAGCGCACAAUGGUUUCAUAAAAACGGCAUUGUCAUCAUCAACAAAGCUUCAUGAUGCUGUAAGGAAACUGCUAGAUUUAUCAAGCAGUAUUGAAAGAAAGUCGGCCCACUCAGCAACAUUGCUGAAGACAUGCAUCUUCUACAACCAUUCUAGCAAUAAUAAAAUUGAAGAGGCAUGUGCUAAAGUGCUGACCCCGUUUGCUUGUGGAGUAAUUAGAAAGCAGUUCAGCAAACUUGCAGAAAAUGAUAUUGAAGUGAAGAAAACAAAAGAAAAAUUGUACCAUGUUACAUUUUCAAAUGGAGAAAGGUGGCAUGAUAUUUCCAUUGAAAGUCACUCGUGCAGCUGCACCUUCUCUUCCAAAAUGGGGUUGCCUUGCCGGCACUUGUUGGCCGUGUACGUCAAAUACGACAUUGAGCCUGACUUGGACAAAGCAGUACGAAGCCGCUGGUUCAAACGGUACCAGGCCGCAUUCUUGCCAAAUCAGCAAGCCGCUGCUGAGAACAGCACCCCCACAGACCCCGAAUACUUUCGAUGCCUGGCCCAAAUUUUGAAAAAAUGAACCGUAAUCAGCGAUACAAUUUUGCUAUGCGGACACUCAAGUCACUUGCUGACACGUUGGCCGAUUGUCAACCUGGUAUCUUUGCACAACGACUCGGGUUCUUGGAGGAUUUGAAUAGCACUUGGCUCAAAGGAGGUGAAGAGAACAAAAGGGACUGCUCUAUAAAUUUAGCCACCAGCAGUAACAGUGAGUGUGACACACAAGCAGCUGAAAAUCCUCAUAGUCAAGCCGUUGAAGUGGAAAACAUGCAGAAGAAACCUGAGGAAGCUGAAAAUUCGGGUCAAGCCAUUGAGCUGGAAAACAUGCAGGAGAAAGCUGAAGAACCCGACAAUCCUGGUCAACCCGUUGUAGUAAAAAACGUGCAGGAGAAAGCUGAGGAAACAGGGAAAAGCUGUCCAAUAAAGCUUCCAGUGGUGAAAAGCAGAGGACGUCCUGCCAAGCGCAUUCGCCAAAGAACAAUGAAGAGGAAGAGACAAGGAGAAGGUCCUGUGCCUUUCAAGGAUUUAUCUCCGAGGUCUCAAGAAAAGUUGAUCCUAACUGGCAUUGCUGGCCAGGAGGCUGCAGCACGUGUUUUGAAUGAAGGGGGAAUUCUCGAUGAGAGUGAUAUUGAAGUGCGCCCCGAGGAGUUGGCGAGCGCCCUCCUAGACCACCGGGUAUCAUUGCCAAAGCUGAAGAAAUACUUCACUGCAGAGGCAUGGCUGUUGCUCUCAUCAUCCCUUGCUGUGAAAAAAAAAGGAGACAUAUGGAGCUGUGCACAAUGCAAGAAAAAGGAUGAUGGCGAAAUAAAAUGGUUUUGUGUGAUCAGUGCUUGGAAUGGUUUCACUGGCCGUGUGCUUCAGUGAAGAAGGAGGACCUAAAGCGUCACUGGUUCUGUAUGAAGUGUUGCAGUCACACAUAGAUACUUCCUGGAGCAAUAAACGCAUGCUUUUUUUCUU